GUAAACCCAAGGUUGCCAGGGGAAGGUUCGGCCGCCCUGGGUUAGUCUGGACCUAAGCUGAGGCCGAAAGGCGUAGGGGAUGGACAACAGGUUGAUAUUCCUGUACUACCGAUAACCGUUUGAGAGAAGGGAUGACACAGUAGGAUAAGCUAAGCACACUGUUGGUUAUGUGUGCCCAAGCAGUCGGGA
rnacentral:rRNA from 1 species